UCCUUGAUCGUCUAGUGGUUAGGAUACGAGCUUGUCACGCUCGUGGCCAGGGUUCGAUUCCCUGUCAAGGAG